UGGGGAAUAUUGCACAAUGGAGGGAACUCUGAUGCAGCGACGCCGCGUGAACGAAGAAGGCUUUCGAGUCGUAAAGUUCUUUUAUAUGGGAAGAUAAUGACGGUACCAUAAGAAAAAGCCCCGGCUAACUACGUGCCAGCAGCCGCGGUAAUACGGAGGGUGCAAGCGUUAAUCGGAAUUACUGGGCGUAAAGCGCACGCAGGCGGUUUGUUAAGUCAGAUGUGAAAUCCCCGGGCUCAACCUGGGAACUGCAUCUGAUACUGGCAAGCUUGAGUCUCGUAGAGGGGGGUAGAAUUCCAGGUGUAGCGGUGAAAUGCGUAGAGAUCUGGAGGAAUACCGGUGGCGAAGGCGGCCCCCUGGACGAAGACUGACGCUCAGGUGCGAAAGCGUGGGGAGCAAACAGG
rnacentral:rRNA from 1 species